rnacentral:rRNA from 1 species
GUGAUAGUGGCGAACGGGUGAGUAACACGUGGGCAAUCUGCCCUUCACUCUGGGACAAGCCCUGGAAACGGGGUCUAAUACCGGAUACUGACCUGCCAAGGCAUCUUGGCGGGUCGAAAGCUCCGGCGGUGAAGGAUGAGCCCGCGGCCUAUCAGCUUGUUGGUGAGGUAAUGGCUCACCAAGGCGACGACGGGUAGCCGGCCUGAGAGGGCGACCGGCCACACUGGGACUGAGACACGGCCCAGACUCCUACGGGAGGCAGCAGUGGGGAAUAUUGCACAAUGGGCGAAAGCCUGAUGCAGCGACGCCGCGUGAGGGAUGACGGCCUUCGGGUUGUAAACCUCUUUCAGCAGGGAAGAAGCGAAAGUGACGGUACCUGCAGAAGAAGCGCCGGCUAACUACGUGCCAGCAGCCGCGGUAAUACGUAGGGCGCAAGCGUUGUCCGGAAUUAUUGGGCGUAAAGAGCUCGUAGGCGGCUUGUCACGUCGGUUGUGAAAGCCCGGGGCUUAACCCCGGGUCUGCAGUCGAUACGGGCAGGCUAGAGUUCGGUAGGGGAGAUCGGAAUUCCUGGUGUAGCGGUGAAAUGCGCAGAUAUCAGGAGGAACACCGGUGGCGAAGGCGGAUCUCUGGGCCGAUACUGACGCUGAGGAGCGAAAGCGUGGGGAGCGAACAGGAUUAGAUACCCUGGUAGUCCACGCCGUAAACGGUGGGCACUAGGUGUGGGCAACAUUCCACGUUGUCCGUGCCGCAGCUAACGCAUUAAGUGCCCCGCCUGGGGAGUACGGCCGCAAGGCUAAACUCAAAGGAUUGACGGGGGCCGCACAGCGGCGGGAGCAUGGUG